rnacentral:tRNA from 1 species
GGCUCGUUGGUCUAGGGGUAUGAUUCCUGCUUCGGGUGCAGGAGGUCCCGGGUUCAAAUCCCGGAAGAGCCC